rnacentral:snoRNA from 2 species
UUGGCAGAUGAUGAGAAGCAAAGACAAUGCAUCUGCAGUGCUCCUCAUUCGUGGGGGCUCAAUAGCAUGAUGACUCUGUCUAGGGGAAUCUCUGAUGCUAA